rnacentral:misc_RNA from 1 species
CGAAAUGCGAUAAGUAAUGUGAAUUGCAGAAUUCCGUGAAUCAUCGAAUCUUUGAACGCACCUUGCGCUCCUUGGUAUUCCUUGGAGCAUGCCUGUUUGAGUAUCAUGAAAUCUUCAAAGUAAAUCUUUUGUUAACUCAAUUGGUUUCUACUUUGGUAUUGGAGGUCUUUGCAGCUUCACACCUGCUCCUCUUUGUUCAUUAGCUGGAUCUCAGUGUUAUGCUUGGUUCCACUCGGCGUGAUAAGUUAUCUAUCGCUGAGGACACUGUAAAAGGUGGCCAAGGUAAAUGCAGAUGAACCGCUUCUAAUAGUCCAUUGACUUGGACAAUACUUUUAUGAUCUGAUCUCAAAUCAGGUAGGACUACCCGCUGAACUUAAGC